AGUGAACGCUGGCGGUAGGCCUAACACAUGCAAGUCGAACGGCAGCACAGUAAGAGCUUGCUCUUACGGGUGGCGAGUGGCGGACGGGUGAGGAAUACAUCGGAAUCUACUUUUUCGUGGGGGGUAACGUAGGGAAACUUACGCUAAUACCGCAUACGACCUACGGGUGAAAGCAGGGGAUCUUCGGACCUUGCGCGAUUGAAUGAGCCGAUGUCGGAUUAGCUAGUUGGCGGGGUAAAGGCCCACCAAGGCGACGAUCCGUAGCUGGUCUGAGAGGAUGAUCAGACACACUGGAACUGAGACACGGUCCAGACUCCUACGGGAGGCAGCAGUGGGGAAUAUUGGACAAUGGGCGCAAGCCUGAUCCAGCCAUACCGCGUGGGUGAAGAAGGCCUUCGGGUUGUAAAGCCCUUUUGUUGGGAAAGAAAAGCAGCAGGUUAAUACCCCGCUGUUCUGACGGUACCCAAAGAAUAAGCACCGGCUAACUUCGUG
rnacentral:rRNA from 1 species